AUUAAACGCUGGCGGCAGGCCUAACACAUGCAAGUCGAGCGGGGUUUUCGGACCUAGCGGCGGACGGGUGAGUAAUGCGUAGGAAGCUACCCGAUAGAGGGGGAUACCAGUUGGAAACGACGGUUAAUACCGCAUAAUGUCUACGGACCAAAGUGUGGGACCUUCGGGCCACAUGCUAUCGGAUGCGCCUACGUGGGAUUAGCUAGUUGGUGAGGUAAUGGCUCACCAAGGCGACGAUCCCUAGCUGGUUUGAGAGGAUGAUCAGCCACACUGGAACUGAGACACGGUCCAGACUCCUACGGGAGGCAGCAGUGGGGAAUAUUGGACAAUGGGCGCAAGCCUGACCCAGCCAUGCCGCGUGUGUGAAGAAGGCCUUCGGGUUGUAAAGCACUUUCAGUAGGGAGGAAGCGUUGUGUGUUAAUAGUACACAGCGUUGACGUUACCUACAGAAGAAGCACCGGCUAACUCUGUGCCAGCCGCCGCCGUAACAC
rnacentral:rRNA from 1 species